rnacentral:tRNA from 1 species
UAAGCCCUUUCACCCAGAGGUUCAACCCCUCUUCUUAACU